rnacentral:rRNA from 1 species
UACAGAGGGUGCAAGCGUUAAUCGGAAUUACUGGGCGUAAAGCGCACGUAGGUGGUCACUUAAGUCAGGUGUGAAAUCCCCGGGCUCAACCUGGGAAUGGCAUUUGAUACUGGGUGUCUAGAGUAUGUUAGAGGGAAGUGGAAUUUCCGGUGUAGCGGUGAAAAUGCGUAGAUAUCUAGAGGAACACCAGAGGCGAAAGCGAAUCACUGGACAGAACCUGACGCUGAGGCACGAAAGCUAGGGGAGCAAACGGG